GACGAACGCUGGCGGCGUGCUUAACACAUGCAAGUCGAACGGAAAGGCCCUGCUUUUGUGGGGUGCUCGAGUGGCGAACGGGUGAGUAACACGUGAGUAACCUGCCCUUGACUUUGGGAUAACUUCAGGAAACUGGGGCUAAUACCGGAUUGGAGCUCCUGCUGCAUGGUGGGGGUUGGAACGUUUCGGCGGUUGGGGAUGGACUCGCGGCUUAUCAGCUUGUUGGUGGGGUAGUGGCUUACCAAGGCUUUGACGGGUAGCCGGCCUGAGAGGGUGACCGGCCACAUUGGGACUGAGAGACGGCCCAGACUCCUACGGGAGGCAGCAGUGGGGAAUAUUGCACAAUGGGCGGAAGCCUGAUGCAGCAACGCCGCGUGCGGGAUGACGGCCUUCGGGUUGUAAACCGCUUUCGCCUGUGACGAAGCGUGAGUGACGGUAAUGGGUAAAGAAGCACCGGCUAACUACGUG
rnacentral:rRNA from 1 species